rnacentral:misc_RNA from 1 species
GAUGAAGAACGUAGCGAACGUGCGAAACGUAAUGUGAAUUGCAGAAUUCAGUGAAUCAUCGAAUCUUUGAACGCAUCUUGCGCUCCUUGGUAUUCCGAGGAGCAUGCCUGUUUGAGUGUCGUGAAUACUCUCAACUUCAACCCUUUUUUCGGAAAGGGAGGAAGGUUGGACUUGGGUGUUUGUCGAAGUGCGAGCUUCGACUCAUCCUAAAUGCAUUAGCGAUCUGCCUCGAUCACACACAAUGUGAUAAUUAAAACUAAAGCAUUGUUUAAUGAUCAAGUCGAGACUGCUUCUAACUGUCGCAAGACAAUAACGUGCAUACAUUUGUGCAUGUCAUUUGACCUCAAAUCAGGUAGGACUACCCGCUGAACUUAAGCAUAUCAAUAAGCGGACGA